rnacentral:misc_RNA from 1 species
GAUGAAGAACGUAGCGAAAUGCGAUACGUAAUGUGAAUUGCAGAAUUCAGUGAAUCAUCGAAUCUUUGAACGCAUAAUGCGCUCUCUGGUAUUCCGGAGAGCAUGCUUGUUUGAGUAUCAGUAAACACCUCAACUUCCAUAUCUUUUUUGAAAUGGGAGUUGGACUUGAGUGAUCCCAACGCUUUUCCUCACCGAAAAGUGGCGGGUUACUUGAAAUGCAGGUGCAGCUGGACUUUUCUCUGAGCUAUAAGCAUAUCUAUUUAGUCUGCCUAAAAAACAGAUUAUUACCUUUGCUGCAGCUAACAUAAAGGAGAUUAGUUCUUGUGCUGACUGAUGCAGGAUUCACAAAGACAGGCUUCGGCCGACUUUGUAAACUCGAUCUCAAAUCAAGUAAGACUACCCGCUGAACUUAAGCAUAUCAAUAAGCGGAGGA